rnacentral:rRNA from 1 species
GUGGGGAAUAUUGGGCAAUGGGGGCAACCCUGACCCAGCGACGCCGCGUGAGGGAAGACGGCCUUCGGGUUGUAAACCUCUUUUGUACGGGAAGAAGGAAGUGACGGUACUGUACGAAUAAGUCCCGGCUAACUACGUGCCAGCAGCCGCGGUAAUACGUAGGGGACGAGCGUUGUCCGGAAUUACUGGGCGUAAAGGGCGCGCAGGCUGUGCUGCAAGUCAGCUGUGAAAUGUCUGGGCUUAACCCGGGCAUGCGGUUGAGACUGCAGUGCUGGAGUGCUGUAGAGGCAAGUGGAAUUCCCAGUGUAGCGGUGAAAUGCGUAGAUAUUGGGAAGAACACCGGUGGCGAAGGCGACUUGCUGGGCAGCAACUGACGCUGAGGCGCGAAAGCCAGGGGAGCAAACGGGAUUAGAUACCCUGGUAGUCC